rnacentral:rRNA from 1 species
UAGGGAAUAUUGCUCAAUGGGCGCAAGCCUGAAGCAGCAACGCCGCGUGGAGGAUGAAGGUUUUAGGAUUGUAAACUCCUUUUGUGAGAGAAGAUAAUGACGGUAUCUCACGAAUAAGCACCGGCUAACUCCGUGCCAGCAGCCGCGGUAAUACGGAGGGUGCAAGCGUUACUCGGAAUCACUGGGCGUAAAGAGUGCGUAGGCGGGGUUGUAAGUCAGGUGUGAAAUCCUAUGGCUUAACCAUAGAACUGCAUUUGAAACUACAACUCUGGAGUGUGGGAGAGGUAGGUGGAAUUCUUGGUGUAGGGGUAAAAUCCGUAGAGAUCAAGAGGAAUACUCAUUGCGAAGGCGACCUGCUGGAACAAUACUGACGCUGAUUGCACGAAAGCGUGGGGAGCAAACAG